GGGUGCGAUCAUACCAGCAAUAAUGCACCGGAUCCCAUCAGAACUUCAUAGUUAAGCGUGCUUGGGCGAGAGUAGUACUAGGAUGGGUGACCUCCUGGGAAGUCCUCGUGUUGCACCCC
rnacentral:rRNA from 1 species